rnacentral:snoRNA from 1 species
UGCCAGUGAUGUACCCUAAAUUCUGACACCUCAUAUGAAACUGUCAAAAACAGCUUCUUGAUUUUGUCCUUUGGGCUGAGGCAA